rnacentral:tRNA from 1 species
GGACAGAUAGCUCAGUGGUUAGAGCACCUGGUAUAUGGUCAGGAGGUCCUGGGUUCAAGUCCCAGUCUGACCA